CCUACGGGUGGCAGCAGUCGAGAAUCAUUCACAAUGGGGGAAACCCUGAUGGUGCGACGCCGCGUGGGGGAAUGAAGGUCUUCGGAUUGUAAACCCCUGUCAUGUGGGAGCAAAUUAAAAAGAUAGUACCACAAGAGGAAGAGACGGCUAACGCUGUGCCAGCAGCCGCGGGAAUACAGAGGUCUCAAGCGUUGUUCGGAAUCACUGGGCGUAAAGCGUGCGUAGGCUGUUUCGUAAGCCGUGUGUGAAAGGCGCGGGCUCAACCCGCGGACGGCACAUGAUACUGCGAGACUAGAGUAAUGGAGGGGGAACCGGAAUUCUCGGUGUAGCAGUGAAAUGCGUAGAUAUCGAGAGGAACACUCGUGGCGAAGGCGGGUUCCUGGACAUUAACUGACGCUGAGGCACGAAGGCCAGGGGAGCGAAAGGGAUUAGAUACCCGGGUAGUC
rnacentral:rRNA from 1 species